UAAGGAGUAGCAUAACGGAAGUGCGAAGGGCUUUGAUCUCUUAGGUGUAGGUUCAAUUCCUAUCUUUUUAA
rnacentral:tRNA from 1 species